AGUGAACGCUGGCGGUAGGCCUAACACAUGCAAGUCGAACGGCAGCACAGUAAGGGCUUGCUCUUACGGGUGGCGAGUGGCGGACGAGUGAGGAAUACAUCGGAAUCUACUUUUUCGUGGGGGAUAACGUAGGGAAACUUACGCUAAUACCGCAUACGACCUACGGGUGAAAGCAGGGGAUCUUCGGACCUUGCGCGAUUGAAUGAGCCGAUGUCGGAUUAGCUAGUUGGCGGGGUAAAGGCCCACCAAGGCGACGAUCCGUAGCUGGUCUGAGAGGAUGAUCAGCCACACUGGAACUGAGACACGGUCCAGACUCCUACGGGAGGCAGCAGUGGGGAAUAUUGGACAAUGGGCGCAAGCCUGAUCCAGCCAUACCGCGUGGGUGAAGAAGGCCUUCGGGUUGUAAAGCCCUUUUGUUGGGAAAGAAAAGCAGCAGGUUAAUACCCCGCUGUUCUGACGGUACCCAAAGAAUAAGCACCGGCUAACUUCGUG
rnacentral:rRNA from 1 species